AUGAUGAUGAUUACAUUUAUUAUUAUUAUUAUUAUUAUUAACAUACAAUUGGCAAUGUUUACUGAUUAUGAUAGUGAUGGCUUUAUGCUUGAAAUUAAUAGACAUAAUAAUUGUCUAAUAACCGAUGAAAAAUGUAGAAUAAAUCAUCCAGAAAAUUGUUGUAGUCGUAUAUGUAAAUUGACUAAGCUAAACAAAUUUUAUGGAAAAUGUGCUAAAUGCGACAAUGGUCAUACUCCCUGUACACGUGGAUCAACAUGUUGUAGUAAAAUAUGUAAUUUUUAUGGCGACUAUAAAAUACCUACCCAGGGUAAAUGUGCUGUUCAUAAAAAACAUCGGUUAAAUUAUUGUGUAAAAUAAUAAUAAU